AUUGAACGCUGGCGGCAGGCCUAACACAUGCAAGUCGAAUGGUAACAGGAAACAGCUUGCUGUUUCGCUGACGAGUGGCGGACGGGUGAGUAAUGUCUGGGAAACUGCCUGAUGGAGGGGGAUAACUACUGGAAACGGUAGCUAAUACCGCAUAACGUCGCAAGACCAAAGAGGGGGCCCUUCGGGCCUCUUGCCAUCAGAUGUGCCCAGAUGGGAUUAGCUAGUAGGUGGGGUAACGGCUCACCUAGGCGACGAUCCCUAGCUGGUCUGAGAGGAUGACCAGCCACACUGGAACUGAGACACGGUCCAGACUCCUACGGGAGGCAGCAGUGGGGAAUAUUGCACAAUGGGCGCAAGCCUGAUGCAGCCAUGCCGCGUGUAUGAAGAAGGCCUUCGGGUUGUAAAGUACUUUCAGCGGGGAGGAAGGGAGUAAAGUUAAUACCUGUGCUCAUUGACGUUACCCGCAGAAGAAGCACCGGCUAACUCCGUG
rnacentral:rRNA from 1 species